rnacentral:rRNA from 1 species
ACGAACGCUGGCGGCGUGCCUAAUACAUGCAAGUCGAACGCUUCUUUCCUCCCGAGUGCUUGCACUCAAUUGGAAAGAGGAGUGGCGGACGGGUGAGUAACACGUGGGUAACCUACCCAUCAGAGGGGGAUAACACUUGGAAACAGGUGCUAAUACCGCAUAACAGUUUAUGCCGCAUGGCAUAAGAGUGAAAGGCGCUUUCGGGUGUCGCUGAUGGAUGGACCCGCGGUGCAUUAGCUAGUUGGUGAGGUAACGGCUCACCAAGGCCACGAUGCAUAGCCGACCUGAGAGGGUGAUCGGCCACACUGGGACUGAGACACGGCCCAG